rnacentral:rRNA from 1 species
ACACAUGCAAGUCGAGGGGCAGCAUGGUCUUAGCUUGCUAAGGCCGAUGGCGACCGGCGCACGGGUGAGUAACGCGUAUCCAACCUGCCUUACACUCUUGGACAGCCUUCUGAAAGGGAGAUUAAUACAAGAUGUUAUCAUGAGUAAGCAUUUUCACAUGAUUAAAGGUUUACCGGUGUAAGAUGGGGAUGCGUUCCAUUAGAUAGUAGGCGGGGUAACGGCCCACCUAGUCUUCGAUGGAUAGGGGUUCUGAGAGGAAGGUCCCCCACAUUGGAACUGAGACACGGUCCAAACUCCUACGGGAGGCAGCAGUGAGGAAUAUUGGUCAAUGGACGAGAGUCUGAACCAGCCAAGUAGCGUGAAGGAUGAAGGUUCUAUGGAUUGUAAACUUCUUUUAUACGGGAAUAAACGAAUCCACGUGUGGAUUUUUGCAUGUACCGUAUGAAUAAGGAUCGGCUAACUCCGUGCCAGCAGCCGCGGUAAUACGGAGGAUCCGAGCGUUAUCCGGAUUUAUUGGGUUUAAAGGGAGCGUAGAUGGGUUGUUAAGUCAGUUGUGAAAGUUUGCGGCUCAACCGUAAAAUUGCAAUUGAUACUGGCAGUCUUGAGUACAGUUGAGGUAGGCGGAAUUCGUGGUGUAGCGGUGAAAUGCUUAGAUAUCACGAAGAACUCCGAUUGCGAAGGCAGCUUACUAACCUGUAACUGACAUUGAUGCUCGAAAGUGUGGGUAUCAAACAGGAUUAGAUACCCUGGUAGUCCACACGGUAAACGAUGAAUACUCGCUGUAGGCGAUAUACAGUCUGCGGCCAAGCGAAAGCAUUAAGUAUUCCACCUGGGGAGUACGCCGGCAACG